rnacentral:rRNA from 1 species
AUUGAACGCUGGCGGCAUGCCUAACACAUGCAAGUCGAACGGCAGCAUGACCUAGCUUGCUAGGUUGAUGGCGAGUGGCGGACGGGUGAGUAACGCGUGGGAAUAUGUCUUAAAGCUGAGGAUAACUUAGGGAAACUUAAGCUAAUACUGAAUAAACUCUGAGGAGGAAAGCUGGGGACCUACGGGCCUGGCACUUUAAGGUUAGCCUGCGUCUGAUUAGCUAGUUGGUGAGGUAAAGGCUUACCAAGGCGAUGAUCAGUAGCUGGUCUGAGAGGACGGACAGCCACACUGGGACUGAGACACGGCCCAGACUCCUACGGGAGGCAGCAGUGGGGAAUAUUGGACAAUGGGGGAACCCUGAUCCAGCGAUGCCGCGUGUGUGAAGAAGGCCUGAGGGUUGUAAAGCACUUUUGUUAGGGAGAAGAGUGGAGAGGUUAAGAGCUACUUCAUGAGAUGUUACCUAAAGAAAAAGCACCGGCUAACUCCGUGCC